UCUGGUUGAUCCUGCCAGUAGUCAUAUGCUUGUCUCAAAGAUUAAGCCAUGCAUGUCUAAGUAUAAGCAAUUUAUACAGUGAAACUGCGAAUGGCUCAUUAAAUCAGUUAUCGUUUAUUUGAUAGUUCCUUUACUACAUGGUAUAACUGUGGUAAUUCUAGAGCUAAUACAUGCUUAAAAUCUCGACCCUUUGGAAGAGAUGUAUUUAUUAGAUAAAAAAUCAAUGUCUUCGGACUCUUUGAUGAUUCAUAAUAACUUUUCGAAUCGCAUGGCCUUGUGCUGGCGAUGGUUCAUUCAAAUUUCUGCCCUAUCAACUUUCGAUGGUAGGAUAGUGGCCUACCAUGGUUUCAACGGGUAACGGGGAAUAAGGGUUCGAUUCCGGAGAGGGAGCCUGAGAAACGGCUACCACAUCCAAGGAAGGCAGCAGGCGCGCAAAUUACCCAAUCCUAAUUCAGGGAGGUAGUGACAAUAAAUAACGAUACAGGGCCCACUCGGGUCUUGUAAUUGGAAUGAGUACAAUGUAAAUACCUUAACGAGGAACAAUUGGAGGGCAAGUCUGGUA
rnacentral:rRNA from 1 species